rnacentral:rRNA from 1 species
AAGUUUCACAACGGAUCUCUUGGCUCUCGCAUCGAUGAAGACGCAGCGAAAUGCGAUAAGUAAUGUGAAUUGCAGAAUUCAGUGAAUCAUCGAAUCUUUGAACGCACCUUGCGCUCCUUGGUAUUCCUCGGAGCAUGCCUGUUUGAGUAUCA